rnacentral:rRNA from 1 species
CAUAAUUUUUUGUGGUGCAUUUACUUGAUUGGUGCUUGGGGAUGUUUGAGGCAGAUUUGUUUCCGUCGUUUUGAGGCCAGCUUGCUGGUACCCAAACGGUGUUAGCAUUUUUUGUCUUGGGCAUUUGAGUAUGGCUCACGUGUAUUUAUUGGACAGAUCUGAGUGUAAGUUACGGUCGCAUGCGACACSUGCUUUUCAAUUAGUUCGGUCCAGUUAAUGCUCUCGUACUCGUUCCCCAUGUAAAAGCCGGUCAUCUAUCCGACCCGUCUUGAAACACGGACCAAGGAGUUUAUCGUGUGCGCAAGUUUUUGGGUGUUAAAAACUUAAAAGCGAAAUGAAAGUAAAUGACUCUUUAGAGUCUGAUGUGCGAUCUUGUAAAAAAGUGUAGCAUGGCCCCAUUCUAACUGUUUACAGUAGGGUGGCGGAAGAGCGUACGCGGUGAGACCCGAAAGAUGGUGAACUAUUCCUGAGCAGGACGAAGCCAGAGGAAACUCUGGUGGAAGUCCGAAGCGGUUCUG